AGAGUUUGAUCCUGGCUCAGGAUGAACGCUAGCGACAGGCUUAACACAUGCAAGUCGAGGGGCAGCAUAAAAGUAGCAAUACUUUGGUGGCGACCGGCGCACGGGUGAGUAACGCGUAUGCAACCUACCUAUCAGAGGGGAAUAACCCGGCGAAAGUCGGACUAAUACCGCAUAAAACAGGGACACCGCAUGGUGAUAUUUGUUAAAGAAAUUCGCUGAUAGAUGGGCAUGCGUUCCAUUAGGUAGUUGGUGAGGUAACGGCUCACCAAGCCGACGAUGGAUAGGGGAACUGAGAGGUUGGUCCCCCACACUGGUACUGAGACACGGACCAGACUCCUACGGGAGGCAGCAGUGAGGAAUAUUGGUCAAUGGGCGGGAGCCUGAACCAGCCAAGUCGCGUGAAGGAAGAAGGAUCUAUGGUUCGUAAACUUCUUUUGCAGGGGAAUAAAGUGCAGGACGUGUCCUGUUUUGUAUGUACCCUGAGAAUAAGGAUCGGCUAACUCCGUGCCAGCAGCCGCGGUAAUACGGAGGAUCCGAGCGUUAUCCGGAUUUAUUGGGUUUAAAGGGUGCGUAGGUGGUUUGAUAAGUCAGCGGUGAAAGUUUGCAGCUUAACUGUAAAAAUGCCGUUGAAACUGUCGGACUUGAGUGUAAAUGAGGUAGGCGGAAUGCGUGGUGUAGCGGUGAAAUGCAUAGAUAUCACGCAGAACUCCGAUUGCGAAGGCAGCUUACUAAGCUACAACUGACACUGAAGCACGAAAGCGUGGGGAUCAAACAGGAUUAGAUACCCUGGUAGUCG
rnacentral:rRNA from 1 species